GAUGUGGUACAUCUGAUCAUGAAAGAGAGGCCUUCUGCCCAUCACAUUCUCUUCUUUAUGAGAAAACUGAGGCCUGGAGAUGGGAAGGGACCUCCGAGGCACAUCAGCAGGAAAUGACUUUCCAGUUCUGGGGUAGUGAACCUGGGUCAGCGGCAGCAGGUGGCUUGGAGGAACCUAAAAUAAGAGGCACCGGAGAACAGACAAGCCUCAGGAAAGCAAUAUUAAACUUGAACAGGGCCUCAUAAAGGUUUCUGUAGUUGAAUCAAGUUAAAGCAAGUUUGGAUCCAAAGGUCUGGUGACUCUUCUAAACGUACUCACACAUCUGGAUAUUGGACUGAGUUCCAGUAGAUCUGUCCUUGAGGAUCAUCUGGGGACACACUUUUGUGCAAAAAAGAAAGAAAUGAUGAAUUAUCAUGUAGACGAUGUGAUCAGGUGUUCAUUAUUAGAAGGCAGAAUAAGACAGAGGCCAUAUUACCAGAUAAGGCUUCCACAUCAUCAGGGGAAAUGGGAUGUUUGUAUUUUGUUAUCUUUGAAGCUCAGGGCCAAAGCAAAGCUUGGAAUAUGGAAAGUUUUCACCAAAGUUGGCUGAAUGAAGGGAUGAGUUCUGGAGAAAUCUCAUGACUGGAGAAAGCCUCGCCGGUCACAACUCUUACAUCUGGUUUGGAAGAAUGUUGGUGGCAAAAUAAUAAACAAGACUUCCUGCAAAAACUUUUGACAUCAAGCUGACCAGAAACAUACCAGAUCCACGUUACCAGCUGGAUUAAAACCAAGGACAGGCUCAGCAGCAAUUUUAAUGGUUAAGAAUUAGGGUUUGGGGGCUAUGACGGUGGCUUGCCAGCAGUGCCUGAUUUAACCAUCCCCCUUUCCCAUAGAAAUACUCCAAAACACACAGUAAGACUUAAAAUUACAAGUCUGGAGGGAAUGACUUCCAUGAAUUAUUUGCCGGUCUCUGAGAGUGUUUUUUCUCUGACCGCAUCAUAAUGGGAUGAGAAGUAAGUCACUCUGACCUCAAAAAUAGCACUAGGCUGGAAUAUCCACCUUUGUACCAGUGUGUAUGGCCUCCCAUUGCUUGGGAACAGUAGGCGGCUCCACAUUGUGGCUGUGGCUAUGGCUGUGGCUGUGGCGUAGGCCAGCAGCUGCAGCUGCAAGUGAACCCCUAGCCUGGGAACUUCCGUAUGCCACACCUGCUUCCCUUAAAAAGCAAAAACAAAUAAACAAACAAAUAAAUAAAUAAAAAUAAAAUAGGCAUCUUACUUCCCAUUGUUCCCACUGUCCAUCCUGGCUCUCUGUCUCCAUCCAUUUGCUAUUCCUCCCAGUGAUGUACCGUCCUGUGAAGUCAAGUUGGCAGUGGGAAGAGUACAGGAAGAAGGGCUUUAGGAAUGCAGCACUCAAGGGAAAAGGCUUAAUUAGGGUUAGACAUUUGAAUUUUUAUAAAUUUUUCUCUCUGUAUUAACUUACCAUGGCAAGAGCUAAUAUUAUUUAGUGUUUAUAUCUAACCACAGAGCAAAGGGAAUGAGUGUCUGAGUAUAAUAACACUAUAGCUAAUGUUCUCAUAGCCCUCUAGAAUUUGAAAGAUCAUUUCAGACUACUUCAAUCCCUCACUCCACAUGUGUUAUCACCAUUUCUACCACCACCAAACUGUAUUUAUGGAAACUUACUCCCCCUCUCCCUGACACCAUAGCCAGCAUCCUCUCAACCACCCUAUAGAGAUAGGUGCUGUUAUGAUUUCUAUUUUGUCAGUGAGGGGACUGAUGCUGGUAACAUGGUUAUUACAGACUGAAUUUUAUCCCUUCCCAAAUUCGAAUGUUGAAGCUCUAACCCCCAAAGCAGUGUUAUUAGGAGGUAGGGCCUUUGAGAGAUAAUUAUGUUUAGAAGAGGUCGUAAGGAUGGGGCCCCGUGAUGGGAUUAGUGUCCUUAUAAGAAGAGAAGCAGACUAGAGUGAGAGAGCUCUCCACCAUGUGAGGACAUAGCAAGCAACAGUCAUCUGCAAGCCAGGAAGAGGGGCCUCACCUGAACCAAACCCUGCUGGGCCUUUGAUCUUAGACUUCUCAGCCCCGAACAGUGAAGAAUCAACAUUUGUUGUUAAAGUCACCCUGUCAGAGGUAUGUUGUUAUCACAGCCUGAACUAAGACCGUGAUCAAGUCAUGCAACGAGUGAGUGAAGAGCUGAGUCCUGAAAGCCUUUGCACGUAACAACUAUAUUAAACAAGGAUCCUCCGAAGCAUAGAAGGGAUGGGGGUCCCAUUCCCAUUCUGAGAUUUGUACUAAAAGUAUCUUAAAAGUGAAGAAAUACCAAAUAUGGUGACAAAAGUAUCAUCUAUUUUAUUUUAUUUAUUAUUUUUGCCUUUUUAGCGCUGCACCUGUGGCAUAUGGAAGUUCCCAGGCUAGGAAUUGAGUCAGAGCUACAGUGGCCAGC